AAUAUUGGACAAGGGGUGCAAGCCUGAUCCAGCCAUACCGUGUGGGUGAAGAAGGCCUUCGGGUUGUAAAGCACGUGUGUGGGGAAAGAAAGCCAGCUGGCUCAUACCCGGUCGGGAUGACGGUACCAAAAGAAGUAGCACCGGCUAACUUAGUGCCUGCGACCCAGGUAAUACGAAUGGUCCAAGCGUUACUCGGAAUUACUGGGCGUAACGCGUGCGUAGGUGGACGUUUAAGUCCGGUGUGAAAGGCCGGGGCUCAACCUGGGAACUGCAGUGGAUACUGGGCGACUAGAAUGUGGUAGAGGGUAGCGGAAUUCCUGGUGUAGCAGUGAAAUGCGUAGAGAUCAGGAGGAACAUCCAUGGCGAAGGCAGCUACCUGGACCAACAUUGACUCUGAGGCACGAAAGCGUGGGGAGCAAACAGG
rnacentral:rRNA from 1 species